CCUAGCCGCAUACAUCUUCCCCUCUCCACAAAAUCAGAAAAUCAUCUCUCCUUCUCCCCACCUUUUGCCGCAGCCACCAUCACCCAAAAUCCAUCCAUUCCAGCCGCCACUCAUCCAUUCCAGCAACCUACCCCACUUUGCCGCACCACCAUACACCUCCCUUACCCUUUUCCGAACCACCAUAUCAUCCCAAAUCCAUCCCUAAACCGAAAUCACAUCCAAACAGCCCCUAAACCCUCACUGCCGCAGCAAGGAGAAGAAGAAAGAGGAGCUUUCUGUGCAGAUUUCAAAGUGGACUUCUUUGGCAUUUUAGGUGUAAUCUUUCUUAUGUCUUCGAUGUUUCAAUGCAAUAAACUUUGUGUUGUGAGUAUGAGGAACUAAACCCCCUUAGUUGGGGGGUAAUUCGAAACCAUGUACAUGCUUGCAAUUUGAUUCAAUUACAUUCAGUUGUUAUUUCAUAAGUUGUGGAUUCAAUUCGUUCAUCUAUUUGAUUGAUACUUAUUUAUGUAUGUUGAUUGAGAGUGCACGCUUAGUUUUCAUGCAUGAAUAUGAUGCUAGAUUAUGAGGGAGUUUCACCUAAUAGUUACAAUCUUAUAAUCACAAGUAGUGAAGAUUGCUUGAAAACGAUCGCGUUGAAUGAAUUCUUAGCAUAAGUUUCAUGCAAUUCAUAGUAAC
rnacentral:lncRNA from 1 species